AGCAUUUGCUCUGUGUUGACAGGAGCUUAACUCCGCGCUGGGUCAUGUUACACGGAGUCCCACUUCCGACGGAGUCUGGACCAACAACCCCCCACAUCAACAGACACGGGGACCAGGUUGUGAGGGCGAACUGACCCACAGUUUGAUAAAAGCACAAGCAGGACUUCGCAGUAACUUGGUGACGUAUUCCCAGUCUGCCUCAGUAGCACACCGCACGGCGGGACACGCCGGGAUACACAUCAACGCACUUACAUCAAUUCACAAAUACGAAACAGAAAUGUUCACAGGCCCUUUAAGGAGCGCGGUGUCUUAUUAAGUAAUAAUUUUGGAUUUUGAUGUAAAAUGCCACUUACAGUCUCUCCUCUCCAUGCUCAACGGCGGCCAUUUUUAUUUAAAUAAAUAUAUUAAUAUAAAAAAACCAAAACAUCUCCGGUAACACCGAGGCCACGCCCCCUCUGCUUCAGUACCCAUCGCCGUUAGAUGAAACAACGCGAGAUCUCUAGAACCUCAGUAUCGAGAGACGUAUCAACGCGAGAUGUCCAUAGAAAGGAAGAUGCGUCUGAAGUUUUGGAUGAUUAGAAGUUGUAAACAGUGAAUGAGUUGACGAAAAUAGGUUAUCCAGAUUGAUUCUUAAAGUUGGGCGGGUUACAGGCAAACAUAUGUGGGCCUGUCGUAAAGAGCGAGGAACGAGUAAGAAAUACAGUCGCUUUGUUUAUAAAUUCUCGAGUGGGACCUUUAAUGUAUAGCAGUAAAGCCUAAAGCGAAUUAUUUCAUUUUAAUAUCAAUAUAAUAUUAACAUGAAAGUAUAAAAUGAACAUUUCUGAAUAGUACCCGAUCGGGUAAAUCCAGCAGUUUUAUAUUCCAGGCCGAUUAAAAGAGUCUGACACCGCCCCUUUGAACACAGAGCCAAUCAAACCGUGACCUAUCCAGGUGUUCCAGAUGAAAGAUCAUAGGUCCAGACCCCUGAUGACGCAGAGCCGCAACAUGUGGUCCCGUGUGGUGCUCUACCUGAUGCUGCUGCACGCUGCCUCCGUCUGCUCUCCCGGUUCAUACGGCACCGACAGCUUGGCGGAGAAGGGUCAAGCGGAGCUCUUUCACGUCCGCAGACUCGCGAACCAACCGCGCUACGGAGAAUGCUGGGCUCGUGCACUGGUGGACAUCGAGGCAUCCUGCCGCGAGUUGACGGAGGAGCGGCAGAGCAGGAUGGCACUGAAGUUCACCCACUGUCACCUGCACAGGUCCGGCCGUGAGUUCCCAGCAUGCCCGAGGGGGCAGAGCUCAGCGAGUGUACCGCCGACAUGGACGCCGUGGCGUUCAACGCCUUCACAGAGUUCUUCACACAUACGCUUUCCAUCUGUCACUUCCUGCAGUCGGAGGCCUGGCAGCUCAGAGCCGAGACCAGCAUGCACAGCCUGACGGAGGCGUCGGCCAGCGUUGCCGAGCAGCUGAGCUCCACAAGGCUGCUAACUGAGGACCUGUUGGAGGCCCAGAGCUCCGCCCUGCUGGCCCAGGACCAGAUCCUCCUCAACGGACAGGAGCUGCAGCACACCAUCAGAGAGUCCUCACAGGGGGUGAGGGAGCUGUUCUCCCAGGUGACGGACUCCUCCAGGGAGCAGCAGGUGGUCCUGUCGGAGCUCUUCAACCGGAUCUCCUUCCUGCAGAGCUUCGUGCUCCUGGAGGCCCACACCCUGAGCUCCGCCUCUACAAACGCGGCCGGCCUCUGCACCGCCUUCCUCCUCACCUGCACCCCCCACACGGCCCGCUCUAGGUUGGUGUUACUAGGCUUGGUGUGUGUUAAUGUGUGCCUGGAGCGACUCAUCUACCAGUAUGUCAUGGACUCAGCAACCCUGCUUACCACACAUGGAGCUGGUGACCGAGUACGUGGCGGUCCUCCGGAGGAUCAUGGGGACUCUGGGAGUCCUGAUCCUGGUGCUGGCAGCCCUGCGCUACAGAGACCCGACCCAGGACAGUCUGCUGGUCCUGGCCCAGCUCAGAGACACCCAGCACAGCCUGCAGCUGGCCCUCACACACACAGAGCGCAGGAGGAGCAGAAGUGGGGAGGAAGACAUGUGGAGGAGAAAGGAGGUUUUACAUACUCUUCCUCGCCCAUGUUACCACGACGACCAGAUCAACGUACUACUCUCAUGUUACCACGGCGACCAGAUCAAGACACUAUUCUCAUGUUGCUACCACGGCGACCAGAUCAAGACACUAUUCUCAUGUUGCUACCACGGCGACCAGAUCAAGACACUAUUCUCAUGUUGUUACCAUGGCGGCCAGAUCAACACAUUGUUCUCAUGUUGUUACCAUGAAGACUAGAUCAACAAACUAUUCUCAUGUGGUUGCCAUGACGGCCAGAUCAACACACUAUUCUCAUGUUGUUACCAGGACAACUAGAUCAACACACUAUUCUUCAUGUUAAAACUUUCUUACCCUUAGAGACGACGAGACCUCUCGUCGUCAGGAACACGUACUCCGUCCUCCGACCAACUCCGACCUGUCUCACCGCUCAGAGAAAGAAAGCUCCCAGAAUACUUUGCUGUUACUGGAUGCCCCUCCUCCUAGACGUACACGCUCCCAGCGAUAUACUAGACCCGCCCCUCUAACUAUUUGUCCCG